rnacentral:rRNA from 1 species
AAUGGGUUGUAAACUUCUUUUCUCAGAGAAGAAUCUUGACGGUAUCUGAGGAAUAAGCAUCGGCUAACUCUGUGCCAGCAGCCGCGGUAAGACAGAGGAUGCAAGCGUUAUCCGGAAUGAUUGGGCGUAAAGCGUCUGUAGGUGGCUUCAAAAGUCUCCUGUCAAAGAUCAGGGCUUAACCCUGGGCCGGCAGGAGAAACUCUGAGGCUAGAGUUUGGUAGGGGCAGAGGGAAUUCCCCGGUGGAGCGGUGAAAUGCGUAGAGAUCGGGAGGAACACCAAAGGCGACAAAGCACUCUGCUGGGCCACAACUGACACUGAGAGACGAAAGCGAGGGGAGCAAAAGGGAUUAGAUACCCCUGUAGUCAAAGGAA